rnacentral:rRNA from 1 species
AUUGAACGCUGGCGGCAUGCUUUACACAUGCAAGUCGAACGGUAACAGGUUAAGCUGACGAGUGGCGAACGGGUGAGUAAUGCAUCGGAACGUGCCCGGUCGUGGGGGAUAACGCAGCGAAAGCUGCGCUAAUACCGCAUACGAUCUGAGGAUGAAAGCGGGGGACCGUAAGGCCUCGCGCGAUCGGAGCGGCCGAAGUCAGAUUAGGUAGUUGGUGAGGUAAAGGCUCACCAAGCCGACGAUCUGUAGCUGGUCUGAGAGGACGACCAGCCACACUGGGACUGAGACACGGCCCAGACUCCGACGGGAGGCAGCAGUGGGGAAUUUUGGACAAUGGGCGCAAGCCUGAUCCAGCAAUGCCGCGUGCAGGAAGAAGGCCUUCGGGUUGUAAACUGCUUUUGUACGGAGCGAAAAAGCUCUCUCUAAUACAGGGGGUUCAUGACGGUACCGUAAGAAUAAGCACCGGCUAACUACGUGCCAGCCGCCGCGGUAACAC